UCCAGACUCCUACGGGAGGCAGCAGUGGGGAAUAUUGCACAAUGGGGGAAACCCUGAUGCAGCGACGCCGCGUGAGUGAAAAAGUAUUUCGGUAUGUAAAGCUCUAUCAGCAGGGAAGAAGAAGGACGGUACCUGAGUAAGAAGCCCCGGCUAACUACGUGCCAGCAGCCGCGGUAAUACGUAGGGGGCAAGCGUUAUCCGGAUUUACUGGGUGUAAAGGGGGCGCAGACGGCGAUGCAAGCCAGGAGUGAAAGCCCGGGGCCCAACCCCGGGACUGCUCUUGGAACUGCGUGGCUGGAGUGCAGGAGGGGCAGGCGGAAUUCCUGGUGUAGCGGUGAAAUGCGUAGAUAUCAGGAGGAACACCGGUGGCGAAGGCGGCCUGCUGGACUGCAACUGACGUUGAGGCCCGAAAGCGUGGGGAGCAAACAGGAUUAGAUACCCUAGUA
rnacentral:rRNA from 1 species